GACGUAGGGCGCGAGCGUUGUCCGGAUUUAUUGGGCGUAAAGAGCUCGUAGGCGGUUUGUCGCGUCUGCUGUGAAAACCUAAGGCUCAACCUUGGGCUUGCAGUGGGUACGGGCAGACUAGAGUGCGGUAGGGGGUGACUGGAAUUCCUGGUGUAGCGGUGGAAUGCGCAGAUAUCAGGAGGAACACCGGUGGCGAAGGCGGGUCUCUGGGCAGUAACUGACGCUGGAGGAGCGAAAGCGUGGGGAGCGAACAGG
rnacentral:rRNA from 1 species